rnacentral:rRNA from 1 species
GACGUAGGGUGCGAACGUUGUUCGGAAUCACUGGGCUUAAAGGGCGCGUAGGCGGGCUGACAAGUCUGGGGUGAAAUGCCGCGGCUCAACCGUGGAACUGCCUUAGAUACUGUCGGCCUCGAGGAAGGUAGGGGCAUGCGGAACUGUAGGUGGAGCGGUGAAAUGCGUUGAUAUCUACAGGAACUCCGGUGGCGAAAGCGGCGUGCUGGACCUUUUCUGACGCUGAGGCGCGAAAGCUAGGGGAGCAAACGGG